UACGUAGGGUGCGAGCGUUGCCCGGAUUUAUUGGGCGUAAAGGGCGCGUAGGCGGCUACGCACGUCCGUUGUGAAAUCGCUCGGCUCAACUGGGCGGGGUCAGCGGAUACGGUGUAGCUGGAGCAAGCUAGGGGGCAAUGGAAUUCCCGGUGUAGUGGUGGAAUGCGUAGAUAUCAGGAGGAACACCGGUGGUGUAAACGGCUCUCUGGACCGUAACUGACGCUGAGACACGAAAGCGUGGGUAGCAAACAGG
rnacentral:rRNA from 1 species